rnacentral:misc_RNA from 1 species
GAAUAAACAGUGCAGGUUGUGCUGGCCUUCAUGGUAUGUGCACGCCUGCCAAUGUUUCAUUCUAUCUUCCACCUGUGCACUCUGUGUAGAUUCUGUAUGCUUCUGUCAGGCUCUUAUUGGGCUUGGUUGAGAGGAGUUGCUUGCUUUCCGCGAGCUCUUCUUGGGCAUGCAGGUCUAUGUUUUAUAUCAACACCAUAUGAAUGUUAUAGAAUGUGCUUUGGGCUUUUUAGCCUUUAAAUCAUAUACAACUUUCAACAACGGAUCUCUUGGCUCU